rnacentral:misc_RNA from 1 species
AUAAACUACUCGUUCAAAGACGUGCAAGAGAAAAGACAAUGACUUUCCAUCCAAAGAAAAAUCAUACAACCAAAAAACUUUGCGUCAAACUAAUUUCCAGCAUAGUGGAGUCGAGUAGAUUAUUAAGUCUUUGGUAUCACCAAUACCAAAGUCAAGGUGAAGAAAAAAAAAUGAGAAACAGAGAGCGAGAAGAUAUUAAGUUACAAAAUGAAUGCAUGUCAAAUUUUCAAUAAAAGGAGUCAUUGGAAUGCUCCUCCACUACAAACACAUGACCUGAUCUAAACAAGUCCACUAAUUCCAUAAAGCUAACUAAAAAUGCAACAUGCUUCUCUCAUUAGCUUCUUUUCCUUUUGUCAUCAUUCUUUGAUUGGUAACAGAAAGGAAAUGAGAGAAAAAUUAUAGCCAAGGAUCAAUGAUUGAUGGUUGUCUACGACUUCUUCAUGAGAUACCCCAAAAUUAUGCCAAGCAUGCCAACAAAGAUGACAAACAUAAAUGAGACACCAGCGCGGUUUUUGUUGCCUUGACGUUUCAGGAGUUCCUGCAUGUAGUAAUCUCAUAAAAUGAGCUAUUCCCAUUAAUCAAAGAUCAUACGAAUGGAAAACAGGCAUGUCAAACCAUAUGAUUAUUUUUCACACAUAGAACACCAGCUUGAAAUUUCACAGUAAACAUGCAUUUUCUAAUUCAGACGCCUUGAGAACCAAAUAAGACACAGUUCCAAAGUAAACAUAUUAAUCAACCCUCUGCUAAAUAAGCAAUACUUUUGGACAAACUUGAAACUAGGGAAAUCAGGAAAGAACUGCUCAAAGGGGUAAAGGCUGCUUUAAAUUCAAUAUGAACAAAAUAACAAUAUGAUGGACAGAAAGAAUUCAGGAAGAUGAGCUAGAGAGAAACAAAUGAAUACAAAAACAACUGUUGUGGAAACAGGGCCAGAAUGCAAAGUAAAGCCAUGUGCCCAACAAAUACCAUGUAACCCACCUUUAAGUUUCUUUUCUUUUUUUAUUCACUACUGGAUAUGAAAAAGCAACACAAUCAUACACUCUGCACUGUUAUAAUUUAACCUUGACGCAAUAGCCGAAACCAGGUAAGAAAAUAGUUAUUCAAGGCAUUAAAGUUUUCCAAAAGAGAAUACAUCAAGAAAGUUUCAAAUACAGGUUAUUUUAAAACAAGCACCAUAAAGAAGCAUGGAAGAAAAGUAAUCCUACGACCACACUAAAGGCUUUUCCAAUGUCAAUGUGGAAUGCAAAACUACAGGUCAGUGAGCACAGAUCAUAGAUUCUCUUGUUUAUGAGUCUGCUAAUGCAUACUCAAACAAGGCAUAACUUUUAUGUAUCUACAGAAAAUGUAAAUUAUUUAACAAGUGAAUUGAAAAACCAAGAAACUUUUGAACACCACACAUUAGUUUCCUCUCGUAUCUGACAGUGUGUCCCUUAAUUCUGCUUGUGACUUGUGAUAUAAUAAAUAAAUCAGAUAUAUAAUAAAAAGUAGCAAUGCAGAUAUUGGUGUGAUAUGUGUGGGAACUGGCCGCCCAAAAUUAUAAAGGUGGGGACAAGCUGGUUCUAGGGCUAGAGCUUUGAUUUGGAGCUUCUAAAAUAUCUAGCAAAGAUAUGGGAACUUAGAUGAUGACUUCUGGCACAAACAGCACUUAUUUAAAGUUUCUUUUGGUUUAUAUUCCUACUGGUCCUUUUUUAUCAUUAGUUUAUAGAUAUUUUGGAGUUAACAGAUCUGGAAUGGGCUGUAGUAGCAAGCCAAACAUUCUGUAGCCUCUGAGCUCUUCUGAAAACAUGAUUGCCUACUUUUACUAAGUGAAAUUUCUAAGGAAUCCAACAUUUGAUGCUACCUAUUGUUUCCCCCUGUUCUUUCCUCCACAUUCAGGCCUAAAAUCCAAGAAAGUAUUUGCUGAAUUCAGCCACAACACAGCCACUAAUAUUUACAUAACUGAGGCCGCAGGCCUCAAAUCUGAUUAGUUAUUCCUUUCAAUGGGCUGGACUCAGAAAUUUCACCUCUUUUGUUCUCAACGACUGGUGUCACAGGUCAAAAUUCAUGUAAAGCAAAUUGAAAAUUCGGAAAAUUGGAUCCUGUAAGAGAAUAGAUGAUUAAUAUUCCACACAAAUGAAGUCAUGGAUUAACGGGCUUACCAAUUCUUGACGAAGCUUGGUAUUUUGUUGAAUUGCACUAUUUUUUUCCUCAGUCAGCUUUGAAAUAAGAGCUUUUGCCUAAAAUUUACCAAGAUUUAUUAACAGUAAUUAGAUCAUAUACAUGAUCAAGACACAAUGAAAAUGCAACUAUAGCACAAAUAACAAGUGUGGCUGAGAAGUGAAGAGAUGGGAAGACAGAGAAUGAAGAAUAAUAAAAAGUGGGCUACAUAUAUUUUUACAAUGGUGUAUGCUGAGUCUUCCACUGCAGACAUUCAAUAUUUAAUUUCAAGAGACAUUCCAAAUGAUUCUUAUCUACAGAAGGAGGAGAGAAAAAGAAUUCAUAUCACCUAAGUAGCAUUACAUCAGUGAAAAGGAAACAAACAUCUAAAACUCAAAAGAGAAACUAUCAGAAUGUGCAAACAAGUAGAGUGAAGCUAAUGCUGGAUGAUGAUUCCACCAUACAAAGUGAUGAACUUUUCCUCGUAAAAAAAAGUAAGUGAAAAAAAAAAAAUACAAUCUUAAUACAGCCGUAGAAAGUCUUAGCAUGCAAAUAAUUAUAAUAGACAAAAUAAAUGACUCAUGAAAGAAAAUACAUAAACUUUGAAGACAACACUAAAGUUUCCAUUCACAGUUGGUAAGCAAAUUCAUUACCAUCUAUGGAUAACAAAAUCAUGCUAGGGCACCACCUUAUUUAAGGCUAUAAAUUUGAAAAGAACAUUUCAAAUUGCACAGGCCAUCUACCAUAGGACAAUCAUAACAAAGUUAAACCAAAUGAUCUUGUAGGUGAGGUGUAUAUUAGAUACUGUCUACCGUCUACUGUCUAGUCUAUAGCUUAAGAAAGUUGCCCAAUGCUUAAUCUUGUCCAUGGAACUAUAUAGGGCCAUUGCUUGUCAUUGAGAAAGCAGAGGAAAAGUAUAAUUAAGGUGGAGACAUGAAUGGUCAAAAUUGUAAAAACCCAAUAAAAUGUAAUGGGAAUGAAAGCUUUCCACCAUAGCAUGCAAAUUGACCACACAAACAAAUCUAAAUGAAUUUUACCUCUGAAGAUUUGUCUUGAGGUUCAAACUGCUCAACAAAUGCUCUCGAAGCAUUAGAAAAGUCAGUACCGUUUGCAUUUCCAUUAUCCGAUACAGAACCUCUUGGGGAAGACCCUUCCUCAGAUCCUUCCGGAACAGGAGAAGGGGGCUCAGGCGGAGAAACAUACAGCACUCUCAAUUUGCACUCUUCAACAUGAUGCCCCGCCUCCUUAUUGAACAUUUCAGCAUUGAUAUCCUUUGCAGUUGCACCGUCAUGUGUUUUGACACUCUGAAGUAAAAACUUGUCCUUGCAUUGCAUCUCAGGAGGAGACUCCUUUUGUGCUUGCAUUGUAACUGAGUGAAUGACAAAGUUUAAAAAUUCAUUACAUUUACAUCGCGGAUCAUAACUACGAAGUAAAACCACAAAAAUCCACCACAUGGGCACCUAUAACAUCGCAUGCGGACCGAGGCAACACGAUCCCAGCAUUCGGUCGAACACAAUACUUCUUUGGAUUCGUAGUCUUGACCUUGAAAGCAACAUAACUAUCAGUUUUAUUGGACAAUUGAAGAGAACAAGAGAUCUGCUUCUUCAAUUCAAAUGGAAAUUUGAGCUCUAGAGGUUCGAUGCUGAGAAGCUCUCCCGUGCUCAUCUCGAAAGAAAUGGGGAAUUCCAAAAAAAAGAAAACAAAAAAAAAUUAAAAGUUAUUUUUCGAAAGGAGAUUUGAAGAAGAUCCGGAAAUAUAUGUGGAAUCUGUUUUUGAAAAGUGUUUUCAGAGAACAGAAAACGAUAGAGAGGCGGACAGAUCGAGAGAGAGAGCGUUUGCGGAAUUUAUUAUGGCGUCUUUUUUCGUUUUCACUUUGGAUUUUCUCUCCUUGUUUAAUAGCAACAGAAGCCUCUCUCUCCCCCAAAACCAACUUUUUUUUUAAUUUCUUUUCCACUUAAUAAAAUCACUUCUCUUGUAAACAAAUAGAAAAGCCCUUCAAGAUAUCCUUUAUGGGAUUUUUUUUUAUUUUAAAAUUUUUUAAAAAAAUCAUUAAAUAUAAUUAAAGCACCUUUAC